rnacentral:rRNA from 1 species
ACUCCUACGGGAGGCAGCAGUGAGGAAUAUUGGUCAAUGGAGGGAACUCUGAACCAGCCAUCCCGCGUGUAGGAAGACGGCCUUAUGGGUUGUAAACUACUUUUAUACAGGAAGAAACGUACCCUCGUGAGGGUGCCUGACGGUACUGUAGGAAUAAGCACCGGCUAACUCUGUGCCAGCAGCCGCGGUAAUACAGAGGGUGCGAGCGUUAAUCGGAUUUACUGGGCGUAAAGCGUGCGUAGGCGGCCAUUUAAGUCAAAUGUGAAAUCCCCGAGCUUAACUUGGGAAUUGCAUUCGAUACUGGAUGGCUAGAGUAUGGGAGAGGAUGGUAGAAUUCCAGGUGUAGCGGUGAAAUGCGUAGAGAUCUGGAGGAAUACCGAUGGCGAAGGCAGCCAUCUGGCCUAAUACUGACGCUGAGGUACGAAAGCAUGGGGAGCAAAGCAGGAUUAGAUACCCCUGGUAGGCUCUGCU